UACGUAGGAGACGAGCGUUGUCCGGAGUUACUGGGCGUAAAGGGCGCGCAGGCGGCGGUGCUGGCCCGGCGUGAAAGCCCCCGGCUCAACCGGGGAGGGUCGUCGGGGACCGCACCGCUUGAGGGCGGUAGGGGCUGGUGGAAUGCCUGGUGUAGUGGUGAAAUGCGUAGAGAUCAGGCGGAACACCCGUGGCGAAGGCGGCCAGCUGGGCCGACCCUGACGCUGAGGCGCGAAGGCGUGGGGAGCGAACGGG
rnacentral:rRNA from 1 species